rnacentral:rRNA from 1 species
UACAGAGGGGGCUAGCGUUGUUCGGAAUUACUGGGCGUAAAGGGCGCGUAGGCGGCCCGCUAAGUCGAACGUGAAAUCCCCGGGCUCAACCCGGGAACUGCGUCCGAUACUGGCAGGCUUGAAUCCGGGAGAGGGAUGCAGAAUUCCAGGUGUAGCGGUGAAAUGCAUAGAUAUCUGGAGGAAUACCGGUGGCGAAGGCGGCAUCCUGGACCGGCAUUGACGCUGAGGAGCGAAAGCUAGGGGAGCAAACGGG